rnacentral:rRNA from 1 species
UACGUAGGCAGCGAGCGUUGUUCGGAAUUACUGGGCGUAAAGAGUGUGUAGGCGGUGCUCUAAGUUCGGUGUGAAAUCUCCUGGCUCAACUGGGAGGGUGCGCCGGAAACUGGAGUGCUUGAGCGUGGGGAGAGGUGAGUGGAAUUCCCGGUGUAGCGGUGAAAUGCGUAGAUAUCGGAAGGAACACCAGUGGCGAAAGCGGCUUCCUGGUCCAGCACCGACGUUCAGGCACGAAAGCGUGGGGAGCAAACAGG